CACACACACUUGACGUUUUUCCUAGAAAACGUAUUUAAGAAAAUGUGAUUGAAAUGCCAUGCUAUGCCUAUAUUUUAUUUUAGUAUAUGCAUUAUCAUAAUUAUGCAUAUUGUUGCAUGGUGCUGUGGAGGCUCAGGUAAGCUCAGGUAAGUUAUGUUUGGUUAUGUGAAUUGUCGAUGAUGUGAUAUGUGAUUGAAUAUUGUUGAGCUUAUAAAACUGCACGUAGGGUGAUUGUGAUUUUAGCCAGAGAUAUGACACAUGCCUGUUUAUUAUGUCACAUCCCGCACCAUAUGCUCACAUUGGAUCCAAUUUAGGUGCACAGUCUUGUCAUACAGACCUUAUUUAUGGUUCCGACUCGUAGGUGACUAGCAAUUUAUCGCCCGACUAUUAUGUGAGAGUAGUAUUGAGCAUAACUAUAUUACACCCAUCAUCGUCGUAAAGACCUUUGCAUUUGGUUCCGACUCUUGUGCAGUAUAUUACCGUAUAGGCCAUUGUAGUGACUCUGGUUAGAUUGACUUUGAGCUAUGAAUUCAGCCGUACAGACUACCACAAGGGUUCCGGCUAACAUGUUAUAUUUCUAUGAAACUAUUCUUACCUGAAUUGCUUAUUCUGUUAUAUAUAUAGGCAUGGCAUACAUAUAAAUAUGAAUCUUGAUUUUGAGCAUGAUUUGAAAUAUAUACAUAUUUUAUGUAUUCUAUUUUCUGGGAAAGUAUCUAUAUACUUGUUUUACGGCGAGGGGUUAAUAUAUUCAAAGAAAAAUAAGGUUUUCAUGUAAGAAUGUUUUUACUGACCCACUCAACUUUAUUUUUUGCCCCUUCAGGUCUUAGAUAGCAGAGUUUGGUGGCCACGAGGAACCCCACGGUGUUCUGACAGAAUCCGAAGAAGUAGGAUUCACCUUCGGGUGUUGUAUCUUAGUAAUUGUCCUACUUGACUGUAACUAGACUUUCUUAUUGCUCUAAAAGUGUAUUUAUACACUUAAACUCUCACUAGCAUCCUUUCUUAAUUGGGAUUGUUAGUUGAUUGGUUUUAAAUUGUUAGUAUUCCCUUACUAUUUAUCGCUUCCGCUUUGUGCAUAUGGCUACGUCACUCUCACGUGACAGCCAACACGUCUCGAUUUCGGUCGGGGUGUCAAUUUGGUAUCAGAGCCGAUCCCUGGUCGGAAGUGUGCCAACGAGGACGUCGGGCCCCUAAGGGGGUGGAUUGUAACAUCCCACAUCGUCCAGGGGAGUGAUCCUUAAAUGUAUUUUCUUAUCCCUACCUAGCACGAGGCAUUCUGGGAGCUAACUGACUUCGGGUUUCGUAGGAACUUUGAAGUUAAGCGAGAAGGAGGCCAGAGCACUCCUAAGAUGGGUGACCCACUGGAAAGUUGCUCGUGAGUUCCCAGAAACAAAACCGUGAGGGCGUGGUCGGGGCCCAAAGCGGACAAUAUCGUGCUACGAUUGUGGAACGGGCCCGGGAAGUGGUCUACCCCGGGCCGAGAUAUGACAAAUGGUAUCAGAGCCUAGGUUGUAGUCCUGUAUAUCUUAAGAAUUUCCUAGUGUCUUCUGUCUGAACUAUACCGCCUCGUAGAGAGCCACGUUAUUCAGAUGAGCCUAGUUUCCUUGAUAUAGCUCAGUUAGGGGAAGUUAUUGCUAAUAUGAUUCAGUCCGUCAUUCUUAAAGGACUCAUUUUGAGAUUGGUUAUAAGUUGAAACCGAAUCACUUUAUGGAAAAAAAAAUAAAGGACCUGAAGGAGCAAUGUGUUGGCUCAAUCGUUGCGAAAAAGCGUUCCGCGUUAUACAAGUCAAAGGAAUCUUCUUUUUGAAAGGUGGAUCAAGACGACUACUUGGUUCGCAUCCUGGUAGGGUCAGGAGGCUUAUCAAUUGACACCAGAGGAAAUUGCUAAUUGAGAAUUGUUUAAGGAAUUGUUUAAGAAAAGAUUUAUUCCUCCGGCAUAUAUGAAUGGUACGAAACAAGAGUUUACAAUUUGAGACAAGGAAAGAGGACGAUGGAUGGGCCUUAUAGAAGGUUUAUUGACUUGUCUCGUUACCAUUCGAAUGUUGCUGCUAAUCCGGUUAAGAUGUUACGUCAUUUUUAACUAAGUAAUAAGAAGAUGUGGUGUUCUUUGGGGACCAUUACCCAUUGUGCUUCUUACUAGGAGUUCUACGAGAUUUUUUUGAGGACUCUGAGAAUAUGUUCAACGAUAGUGAUGAAGAAAAGGAAAAUAAUGGGAAUCAGAGGAAAGAUGGUAAAAGUUAAGGUCAGUCAUCUCAAGGACUUUGUAAAACUCAAAGCUUCAAAAGAAGUGAAACUAAUUCACUAAUUCUAGUUCUUCUAGCGGAAGUUUUAGUGCUACUGAUCUGAGAAGAGGUGGUAGAUUCACUAGAGGUCCCAAGUCCCAGAGGCAGGGAUAUAUUGGUAAAGGAAAUGUACCUUUGUGUCGUGGGUACAAUAAUAGACACUUUAGAGAGUGUAGACGAAGAAGCAGUGGAUGUUUUACAUGUGGACAAAUGGGACAUAGAGCUGCAAAUUGUCCCCAUAAGCAGUAGAUGCCUAACAGUCUUCUUUGCCACCACUAGCCGAUCCAGCAAGUUCCUGGAUCUAGUAGUUAUGGUCUGAUGGGCUGUGGUGUGUAGGGGCGAAGAAAUCAAGCUAAUAGAGGUUGUGAAAGACGCCAAUAAGCCAAUGACUUGUUAACAUAUCACUGCAAGAUGCUCAAAAUUAUUUGGACUUGAUUAUGGGCACGUUAAUCAUUUUGGUCACUUUGCCAGAGUUCAUUGAUUGUGAAUGUAGAAAUUUUAUAUUUUGGACGAUGUUGCCAAAGAAGGUGGUGAAUGAGCACGAUCGAAGCGUGCAUAUGUAUUUUCCAAUAAAGGACAAGAUGUUAAUAUUGCACCAUUGGGAAUUAUUACUUACUUAUCAAGACAACAGUGAGUUAUCAGUAUUGCAGGCUGCAGACCGUAAUAUUAAUAACUUAUGCGUUGGAUUCGUUAAGCAAGUAACAAGUAGGUCAUUCCAUGUUAGUAUUGUAUUUAUUCAGGGUGUCCAGUGAUGGUGGAAGAUAUAUUAUGCCAGCAAAUCCUAUCCCUUUAGAUAUGGUGGAUUUCGAUGUUACUUAGGCUCGUAUUGAUCAUGCCAAUAUAAAUUGCUACGGGAAAUCAGUUACUUUUCAUCGUGUUGGAUCACCAGAGGUUACUUUUAUGGAUGAGCAAAGUGGAUUGAGGUAUGUCCUUAUUUCUAUUGUGAGAGCGAAGAAAUGGUUAUCGAAAAGCUGCCAAGGAUACUUAGCUCAUGUAGUGCUAAAUGAUGCUACUCUGAGUAAUGUGGAAAAUGUAAGGUGGUUAGACAUUUUCCUGUUAUAAUUCCGGAUGAGUUACCUAGAUUGCCGCCAGACAAAGUUGUGGAGUUUGCUAUUGAUUUAUUUCCAAGUACAGAUCUUAUGUUAAAGAAUGGCUCCUGCUGAGUUAAGGAAAUUGAAAAAUUCAGUUAUAGGAAUUGGUUGAUAAAGGUUCCAUUUAACCUAGUACAUUAUCUUGGGGAGCCCCAGUUUUGUUGUGAGAAAGAAAGACGGGACAUUAAGGCUAUGCAUUGAUUAUAGGUAAUUGAAUCGGGUAACGAUUGAGAACCAUUAUCCAAUACCGCGCGCGCAUUGAUGAUUGUUUAAUCAAUUUGGAGGUGCCUGUGUGUUUUCAAAGAUUAAUUUGAGGACUGGUUAUCAUCAGUUGAAGAUUAGCGGUGAAGACGUUCCUAAGAUUGAUUUUAGGACUUAUUGUGGUCUUUAUAAGUUUUUGGUGAUGCCAUUCACAUUAACGAAUGUGCCUGUUGGUUUCAUGGGUUUGAUGAAUCAAGUAUUCUAGCAGUAUCUAUGCAAGUUGUUAUUGUUUUCAUUGACGAUAUUCCAGUAUACUCUAAGUUGAAAACAGACAAUGUUUGACAUUUUUUAACUUGGUAUUAAAGAAAUUGAGAGAACAUCGGUUGUAUGCCAAGUUUAGUAAAUGCCAAUGUUGGACGAAUCAAGUGGCAUUUAUGGGACAUGCGAUAUCUGCUCAAGGUAUUCAAGUGGAUCCUUAAAAGGUAGCAGCGAUGGAGGAUUUGGAACAACCGCGAAUCGUGACUGAGGUAAGGAUCUUUCUUGGCUUAGCAGGCUACUAUAGGCAGUUGUUAAGGAAAUUUUUUUUAGUCAUUACUUUGCCAUUAACGAGUUGACAAGGAAGAGGUUAAGUUUGAGUGGGAUGAAAAUUGUAAACAAAGUUGUCAGCAGCUGAAUGUAUUAUCUUACUCAUACACCUGUUUUAGCACUCCCAGAUGAUAGUGGAAAUUUUGUGGUCUACAGUGACACCUCGUUGAAUGGUCUUAAAUAUGUGUUGAUGCAACAUGGUAGGGUGAUUGCCUAUGUUUCACGACAAUUGAAACCUUAUGAAAAGACUUACCCUACUCAUGACUUGGAAUUAGCAGCUAUCAUCUUUGCUUCGAAGUUAUGGAGACAUUAUAUUUACGGUGAGAAAUGCAAGAUGUUUUUUUAUAGAUCAUAAGAGUCUCCAAUAUAUUUUAUUCAGAAAGACCUUAAUCUUCGGCAACAAAGAUGGUUGAAGUUGCUUAGUGACUAUGAUUGCAUGACCAGAGUAAUCGUACAAAUGUUGCUGCUGAUACACUUAGUACGAAGGCUCAAGUGAGAAUUAAUGCUUUGUAUGCUUAUUGUGUUCAUCUUCUUGUGGAUUUGAGAUCUUCUAGAGUGAAGCUUAAGGUGAAAGAACGAGAGUAAGCUUUAUUGGCUAAUUUUCAAAUUAGGCCAAUUUUAGUGGAUUGUAUACUCGAUGCCCAGGGGAUUGAUAAAGAAAUUCAAGAAUUAAUCGAGGCAAGGAAUGAAGAGAAAAAGAAAGACCUUAGAGUUAGAAAAUCAGAUGGCAUACUUAUGCAAGAGAGUAGGAUGUAUGUGCCUAAUGAUGUGGAAUUAAGAAAGCAAUUUUGGAUUAAACACAUAAUUCAGCUUAUGCGAUGUAUCCUAGAAGUACUAAAAUGUAUCAUACCAUUCGACCAUUUUAUUAUUGGCCAGGUAUGAAAAGAGAAAUUGCUGAAUAUGUUAAUAAGUGUACCAAUUGUCAACAAAUUAAAGUAAAAAGGAAGAAACUUUUUGGAUUGAUGCAACCACUGUCGGUUCCACAGUGGAAAUGGAAAUUGUCACUAUGGAUUUUGUGUACAAACUUCCUCGUACAUAAAUGGUUACGAUGGAGUUUGGAUGAUAGUUGAUUGGCUUAUUAAGUCAGCACAUUAUUCUUCAGUGAAGGAGCAGUGACCUUUCCAGCAAGUGCAACAGUUAUUUAUCUAUUUUAUGGAAAAGAGAUUUGGGCUUACGGAUCUGUUGAAAAAAGUUUUCCUAGAGUGACACCAUAAGGCCCAUGAAAAUGGUGUCAUGUGUAUCAAAAUUUUUAGGACUUGUCGACGGAAGGUAUUUUGGGGAGCAAAAAGUUCAACCACGAACGGUUUGAAAAAUUUAAAGCCCUGAGUUAGUAAAGGAGACUACUCAGAAUAUUCAGGCACUUAAGCCUAACCUGAAAACGGCCUCAGAUCGACAAAAGAGCCUAGCUGUCAGGCAUGCUACUGAUCAGGUAUACAAGGUUAAUGAUUGGGUAUUUUUUAAGCUUACACCAUGGAAAGAGAUAGUAGGGAUUGGAAAGAAAGGCAAGCUAAAACCUAAGUACAUCAUGCCGUCUUUGAUUACUAAAAGAAUCGGUGAAAUGCUUACAAGUUUGAGUUGCCUUCAGAAUUGGCUAAGGUGCAUAAUGUAUUUCAGGUUUCGAUGCUUCGUUAUUAUGUUGCAGAUUCGUCGUUUGUGAUUCCGGUUCAGCCUUGGAGAUUAAUCCGGACUUGACUUAUGAUGAGGAACCAGUGACUAUUUUGGAUUGGAAAGAGGAAGUCCUGAGAAAUAAGACGGUGUACUUGGUAAAAGUAUUAUGGAGUGGAAGACGCUUCAUGGGAGACAGAGGAUCAGAUGAGAGAGAUGCAUCCAAGGUUGUUUUAUGAGUAUUAGUGGAUGUAUCUGUUGUAUGUAAUUUCGAGGACGAAAUUUUAUAAGGUGGGGAGAUUGUCAUAGCCCGUCCUAGAGAAGUAUAUUAUUUAAUUAUUGACAACGUGAAAUUAUCUAAAUACCAUUGGACAUUGAGAAUUAUUAUGGAGUGUUGUGGUUUUGACUUAGGGUUGUGGACCUAUUAGUUUUAUUCCUCUAUUAUUGGACCCAAUUAGAAUUAGGUGUUCCUUUCAUUUUGAUUGGUGGUUUUUAGACCACACACCCACCUACUCUCUCUCUCUCUCUUUGAACUUGUAUGGACACACACAAACAAAACCAAAGCAACACAGAUCGAAGGUUUUGAGGUCUCCAGUGUGUUCCUAGGAUCCUUACGAGUCGAGUGGUACCCAUUUUCAGCAAGGAAACCUUCGAACAACCCUAGUUUGAAAGGGAGCCAUGGGUGUACAGUACACCAAACUAGUUCGUGGAGGUUUCAAGCUGUUCUAAGACUCAAAAGGUAAUCUCCUAGUCUUCUGGUUUGUUUUGGCAUAAAUUGGAACAAUUUUGGACAUCAGAAAACCCCGGAAAAUGAACCUUCAACUUGGGUACUAUUUAUCAGCUUUUAAACACUUGAGUUUUUGUGAAUUUUAGGACCACAGUGAGCUCAAGGAGGUCCUCACGAUGCUCAGAGUGCAUUGUUGGUAAGAUUUGGGUCACGGGAAGCUCGAAAACGGAGCUUUGCAGAGGUCGCCGGAGUUCGAGGACUUCUUCGACUUGAUUUCAUGUGAUUCGAAGCGUGAAAGAGGUAUAACACAAUUCUUUACCUCCUAAACUUCAUUUUGGUGGAAAUUGCAUGAAAAAUGGUGAAGAAAUGAGGGAGAUUAAAGAGUUUGAAAAAUUGCCCAGUUUCCAACAUCGGCGAUGGUUGCUGGAGCUGGAGGUAGGAGAUGAAGGAAUAUUCCAUCAAGUCUGACGGAAUAUUCUCACGCCGUUAAUUAGUUUAGACGAAUUCCGUUAUCUUUUAACGGAAUAUUCCAUUGAAUAUUCCUAACGGCAGUUAGGAUUUCGUGAGGGUUGGCCACGCGUGGGGGCACGUCUGGCCGUGCACUUGCCGGCGCAUGGCGGCGCGUGAGGCCUCGAAAAUUUAUUCUAAAAAUUUGGGGACGAUCCUAAGUUUGUGUAGGCCAUUGUGGUAUGUUCAUAUACCCAAUUUGAGCUAUGUAUGAAGAGUUAUUACAUAGUUUUGUAUAUGUGCAUUAAAGUGAUGUUUAUAUAGUUGCUUCUCCUAUAGGCAAGACCUAUCCGGAGGACGAGCGUAGCCAGGCUAGGCAUGGGGGUUACGACCCGACUUCAUAUCAGUGAGUGGGCAUUUAUUUUCAAUAUAUAUAUAUAUAUACACUUGACGUUUUUUCGAGAAAACGUAUUUAAGAAAAUGUGAUUGAAAUGCCAUGCUAUGCCUAUAUUUUAUUUUAGUAUAUGCAUUAUCAUAAUUAUGCAUAUUGUUGCAUGGUGUUGUGGAGGCUCAGGUAAGCUCAGGUAAGUUAUGUUUGGUUAUGUGAAUUGUCGAUGAUGUGAUAUGUGAUUGAAUAUUGUUGAGCUCAUAAAAAUGCAUGUAAGGUGAUUGUGAUUUUAGUCAGAGAUAUGACACAGGCCUGUUUAUUAUGUCACCUCGCGCACCAUAUGCUCACAUUGGAUCCAAUUUAGGUGCACAGUCUUCUCGUACAGACCUUAUUUAUGGUUCCGACUCGUAGAUGACUAGUGAUUAUUCGCCUGGCUAUUAUGUGAGAGUAGUAUUAAGCAUAAUUAUAUUACACCCAUCAUCGUCGUACAUACCUUUGCAUUUGGUUCCGACUCUUGUGCAGUGUAUUGCCGUAUAGGUCAUUGUAGUGACUCCGGUUAGAUUGACUUUAAGCUAUGUAUUCAGCCGUGCAGACUACCACAAGGGUUCCGACUAACAUGUUAUAUUUCUAUGAAACUAUUCUUAUCUAAAUUGCUUAUUCUGUUAUAUAUAUAGGCAUGGCAUACAUACAAAUAUGAAUCUUGAUUUUGAGCAUGAUUUGAAAUAUAUACAUAUUUAUGUAUUCUAUUUUCUGGGAAAGUAUCUAUAUACUUGUUUUACGGUGAGGGUUAAUAUAUUCAAAAACAAAUAAGGUUUUCAUGUAAGAAUGUUUUUACUGACCCACUCAACUUUGUUUUUCGCCCCUCCAAGUCUUAGAUAGCAGAGUUUGGUGGCCACGAGGAAUCCCACGGUGUUCUGACAGAAUCCGAAGAAGUAGGAUUCACCUUCGGGUGUUGUAUCUUAGUAAUUAUCCUACUUGACUGCAACUAGACUUUCUUAUUGCUCUGAAAGUAUAUUUAUACACUUAAACUCUCACUAGCAUCCUUUCUUAAUUGGGAUUGUUAGUUGAUUGGUUUUAAAUUGUUAGUAUUCCCUUACUCUUUAUCGCUUCCGCUUUGCGCAUAUGGGUACGUCACUCUCACGUGACGGCCAGCACAUCUCGAUUUCGAUCGGGGUGUGUCACUUAACAAAUAAAAGUGAAUUACUAAAUAUACUUUAUUUUUAAAAGAAAAAUAUUUAUAAACCUUAUCUUAAAUAUUUAUAAUUAAGCAAUUUAUAAAACAAAAUUUAAUGCCUAAAAAUUAAUAAAUCUCUCUCUCUCUCUCUCUCAAAUAAAAAUGUUUAUAAACUUUAUCUUAAAUAUUUAUAAUUAAGCAAUUUAAAAAAAAAAUUUAAUGCCUAGAAAUUAAUAAAUCUCUCUCUCUCAAAUA
rnacentral:lncRNA from 1 species